GAUGAACGCUGGCGGCGUGCCUAAUACAUGCGAGUCGAGCGAACAGACGAGGAGCUUGCUCCUCUGACGUUAGCGGCGGACGGGUGAGUAACACGUGGAUAACCCACCUAUAAGACUGGGAUAACUUCGGGAAACCGGAGCUAAUACCGGAUAAUAUAUUGAACCGCAUGGUUCAAUAGUGAAAGACGGUUUUGCUGUCACUUAUAGAUGGAUCCGCGCCGCAUUAGCUAGUUGGUAAGGUAACGGCUUACCAAGGCGACGAUGCGUAGCCGACCUGAGAGGGUGAUCGGCCACACUGGAACUGAGACACGGUCCAGACUCCUACGGGAGGCAGCAGUAGGGAAUCUUCCGCAAUGGGCGAAAGCCUGACGGAGCAACGCCGCGUGAGUGAUGAAGGUCUUCGGAUCGUAAAACUCUGUUAUUAGGGAAGAACAAAUGUGUAAGUAACUAUGCACGUCUUGACGGUACCUAAUCAGAAAGCCACGGCUAACUACGUG
rnacentral:rRNA from 1 species